rnacentral:lncRNA from 1 species
AUGACAGGCAAGAGGUAUCCCCAUGAUGGUGCUGCUGCUACUGCUGAUGGUGAUGAUGAGGAGGAGGAGGAAGAAGAGGAGGAAGAGCACAGAAGCAGAUUUCUGCCUGAUGAGCUUCCUAGGAAGACUUCCAAACCACAGCUGUGUCUGUUGACCAGGAAUGAAGAAUGAGAGUCACUGUUUCCAUCCAGUCUUCAAAGGAGAGGCACAGGAGAAAGGAGUGCACAUCAACUUAGUACCAAGCCCAAAGGCUAGACAUUUAAAGAGGAUGUUCCAAUAUGAAAGAUAGAGGGCGCUGUGAGAAGAAGCUGAUUGACAUGAAGCUGAAUGUCACAGUUCAAGCUGGCUUUGCACACUGUACCAUGGAGACAAGGUCCUUCCUUCUGUGAGUUGGUCUGAAAUCUAAUAACUUGAGGCUGGAGACAUUCUAAGCACCCUUAAAAUCUGCACAUAGCUCUUUAGUGCUCUGAUGCUGGCCUAAAGGUAUGCAUUCUAAAACAAUCCUCUUUGACUCUUUGAAAUAGCAAAUUUUAUGGUUAC